rnacentral:tRNA from 1 species
CUAUAGCUAAUUCUAAUCCUGAGAAUGCUAUUAUGAAGAGAAUCCUAUAUUGUAGCUCCUAAUACUAUAGU